UACGUAGGGGGCUAGCGUUGUCCGGAUUUAUUGGGCGUAAAGAGCGUGUAGGCGGCCAGGUAGGUCCGCUGUGAAAGUCCGAGGCUCAACCUCGGAAUGUCGGCGGAAACCCUCUGGCUAGAGUCCGGAAGAGGAGAGUGGAAUUCCCGGUGUAGCGGUGAAAUGCGCAGAUAUCGGGGAAGAACACCCCGUGGCGAAGGCGGCUCUCUGGAACGGUACUGACGCUGAGACGCGAAAGCGUGGGGAGCGAACAGG
rnacentral:rRNA from 1 species